AGCAAGGUGUAGUGGUUUGAGUGCUCAACUACAACUCUGGAGAUUUGGGUUCAAUUCCCAGCUUGGUUG